rnacentral:rRNA from 1 species
UUUCGAUCCUGGCGUCAGGAUGAACGCUGGCGGCGUGCUUAACACAUGCAAGUCGAACGAAGCACAGAGAGCAGAUUACUUCGGUUUGAAGCUUUUGUGACUGAGUGGCGACGGGUGAGUAACGCGUGGAUAACCUGCCUCACACAGGGGGAUAACAGUUAGAAAUGACUGCUAAUACCGCAUAAGCGCACAGUCUCGCAUGGGACAGUGUGAAAAACUGAGGUGGUGUGAGAUGGAUCCGCGUCUGAUUAGGCAGUUGGCGGGGUAACGGCCCACCAAACCAACGAUCAGUAGCCGGCCUGAGAGGGUGAACGGCCACAUUGGGACUGAGACACGGCCCAAACUCCUACGGGAGGCAGCAGUGGGGAAUAUUGCACAAUGGGGGAAACCCUGAUGCAGCGACGCCGCGUGAAGGAAGAAGUAUUUCGGUAUGUAAAUUUCUAUCAGCAGGGAAGAAAAUGACGGUACCUGACUAAGAAGCCCCGGCUAACUACGUG